CCCCACCACUCGAUCUCACCC
rnacentral:snRNA from 1 species